AAAAAAGAUAAUGGAAAUACAAGGUUCUAAGAAGAUAACAAAGAAAAAUAAAGUAAAAUAAUGUCGGAUGGCGAACAAGUGACUCACACAACAGACAAGUUUGAAAUCCUUCGGAGAUUUCGUGUAUUUUAAAUUUAAACGAAAAUGGGAAGCUCGUCAUUUGAAGAAUUUUCGUUAGAUUUGAUUUUUACUAGAAUUAUUGCUCCACAAUUAAUCGAGUAUGACAGCAAGUAGGUAUGAUUGAAGAAUUCUGUUGAGGUUGGUAAUUUUAUUUAUUUACGGUUGGUAUCAUUGCUUUGAUUUGUGUUGUCGCAAAUGGAUGACAGUUUUCUUUGUACAGGCUGUUCUACAUAAUUCAAUUUUUCAAACAUUUUUUUUAAUCCUUUAUUUUUCAUUUAGAACCUCGAAGAGUAUUUAUAACUCCAAACACCGGAGAGGGAGGAAUUCAUUUUCUUUAAACCGCGUUUAUUAUUGUUUAAUAAAAUGGAUCCAAAUUGUGUUGAGGAAUUGGGCACUUCCAUAAUUGAGACGAGUGAAUAUGAAUUGGACGAGAAAGCAGCUACUGCUGAAAUGAUACAGUUCUUUGCUAAUGUACAUACAUAUAAUGUAUGAUAAAGAAAUGUUGAGGAUUCUCGUUAUUUAUUGAAUAAGAAGGAUGCCUCGAUAAAGAAGAUGACCUCAGCCUUUACAUAAAUCCGAACAAAAAGGAAGUAAAAAGGAUAUUUUCAAGCGAUCAUCCAACGCAACUUGAGAUAGAGUACAUUAUCAAGGGAUGAAACCGUAUUAUAAGUUAUAUGCAACAAGUGUAUGUAUUUUUUAUGUAUUUCUGGAGAUAAUGCAGUGAAGAAAGGAUUUUUAUCCAGUUUUGCUUAUUGUCAAGUAUUUAAUUAUCAAGUGAUCCGAUGAAGAGGGUUAAGAAAGAUUCCAGGAACCUCAAGAGGCCCGUCAAGUUCACCGUACGUACAACAAACAAACCAACUUAUCAACUCACGAAGAACAAGAAACAUGGACAAUAGUAAAUAUACCGAGCGAGGCCAAAGCAAUAGAUACAAGAUGGAUAUUUACUACAAAGAAAGACGGUACAAAAAAGGCACGGCUAGUUGGCAAUUAGGUUUUCAACUCAAAAAUGAGGAAUGGAAUUCAAUAUACGUCCCAGUAUCCAGGAUAAGAUCAACGAUAAGAAUGUUUAUGGUUCAUGCGAUUAAUAAUAAUUGGCUAAUAAAACAAUUAGAGCAUUUUUAAGUGGUAAACUAACUGACAAUGUAUUUAUAAAGAUACCAGAAGGAAUAAACAAGGAAAAAGGAAAUGUAUUGAACAAGGGUAUUAUAUGGACUUAAAGAGGCACCAAAGUGUUGGGAUGAACAAUUUGAUCAAUGGAUUCAAAAGAUCAAAGUAUGAUUUGUGUCUACACACAAAGAAAGAUGUGUACACAAGAAACAAUAGAAAGGUUAAAACACGAAUUUAAGGCAAAACAUGUAGGAGAAUUAAAUAAGUUUUUGGGAAUGGAAAUAAUAAGGGAAGAAAAUACUUUGAGAAGAAUAUAUUGAUAAAAUUUUGAAGAGAUUUAAUACAACAGACCGCAAGGUUAAGAAAACGCCAAUGGAAGUAAGAUAUCAAUUUGAGGAACAAGGAAGGACAACCUUAUAGAGAACUAUUUUAAGUUGAUUAUAGUAUAUAGCAACCAUUUCAACAACCGACACAAAAACUUUAAAAACUCCCAAAAUGUCGUAAUAAUUACCAAAAUUACCCUCGUGAUGUUUUCACUCCACUCGUCUCAAAAUAUAUAAAAACAAAUCAAAUGUUAAACCGAUCAUCUGCGACCUCUCAUAAGGAAUAGGAAAAGUAAAAGGAGUAGGAAUCUCGA